rnacentral:rRNA from 1 species
UACGAAGGGGGCUAGCGUUGCUCGGAAUCACUGGGCGUAAAGGGCGCGUAGGCGGCCAUUCAAGUCAGGGGUGAAAGCCUGUGGCUCAACCACAGAAUUGCCUUUGAUACUGUUUGGCUAGAGACCGGAAGAGGUAAGUGGAACUGCGAGUGUAGAGGUGAAAUUCGUAGAUAUUGGGAAGAACACCGGUGGCGAAGGCGGCGACCUGGUCCAUUACUGACGCUGAGGCGCGACAGCGUGGGGAGCAAACAGG